rnacentral:rRNA from 1 species
CACAUGCAAGUCGAACGAAGCUUGACGGAUGAUUUCUUCGGAAUGAAACCUGAUAUGACUUAGUGGCGGACGGGUGAGUAACACGUGAGCAACCUGCCUUUCAGAGGGGGAUAACGGCUGGAAACGGUCGCUAAUACCGCAUGACGUGUUCGGAUGGCAUCAUCUGAACAUCAAAGAUUUAUCGCUGAAAGAUGGGCUCGCGUCUGAUUAGAUAGUUGGUGGGGUAACGGCCUACCAAGUCUACGAUCAGUAGCCGGACUGAGAGGUUGAACGGCCACAUUGGGACUGAGAUACGGCCCAGACUCCUACGGGAGGCAGCAGUGGGGAAUAUUGCACAAUGGGGGAAACCCUGAUGCAGCAACGCCGCGUGAAGGAUGACGGUUUUCGGAUUGUAAACUUCUUUUCUUAGUGACGAAGACAGUGACGGUAGCUAAGGAAUAAGCAUCGGCUAACUACGUGCCAGCAGCCGCGGUAAUACGUAGGAUGCAAGCGUUAUCCGGAUUUACUGGGUGUAAAGGGAGCGCAGGCGGGACUGCAAGUUGGAUGUGAAAUACCGUGGCUUAACCACGGAACUGCAUCCAAAACUGUAGUUCUUGAGUGAAGUAGAGGCAAGCGGAAUUCCGAGUGUAGCGGUGAAAUGCGUAGAUAUUCGGAGGAACACCAGUGGCGAAGGCGGCUUGCUGGGCUUUAACUGACGCUGAGGCUCGAAAGUGUGGGGAGCAAACAGGAUUAGAUACCCUGGUAGUCCACACUGUAAACGAUGAUAGCUAGGUGUGGGGGGUCUGACCCCUUCCGUGCCGGAGUUAACGCAAUAAGCUAUCCACCUGGGGAGUACGACCGCAAGGUUGAAACUCAAAGGAAUUGACGGGGGCCCGCACAAGCAGUGGAUUAUGUGGUUUAAUUCGAAGCAACGCGAAGAACCUUACCAGG